CAUUGCCUCUGCAGGUUCAUAUCGUUGCCAUGGAGGACGAGUUCCCGGGCGGCGUGAUUGGUCAGAUCCACGCCUCUGACAUGGAUGCCUUUGAUGUACUCACCUUUGGCCACACCCACCAGCAAAACAGCCUCUUUAAGGUCAGUCCUCAGGAUGGCCGAGUGAUCGCUCUGAGUGGGCUGGACGGGGGCGUGUACUCUCUGA